CUCCGCCUCCUUUCCGAGCCGCGGAGGCGAGAUCCUCCGCUCUCCGCCAGGCGCAUGCGCGCUCGAGCGCCCGCGCACUGCCUGCCGGGAAUUGUAGUUUCGGUGAGGCGGGCCCGGCUAGUCCAGUGGCCGCGCUCCGGUGUCGCGGCCCCAGAAGGCCGAGGCGGAAGUGGAACGGCCACCCCGGAUGGCUUAAUGAUCCCCGAGGAUGGAGUGAACCAUGAGGAACUAGAGGCUGAGUUCUUGGCCUUGGUGGGGGAUCAGCCCCCAGCCCUAGAGAAGCUCAGAGGCAAAGGUCCCCUGCCCAUGGAGGCCAUUGAGAAGAUGGCCAGGUUGUGUAUGCGAGACCCAGACGAGGAGGAGGAGGAGGGGACGGACGACGAUGACGUGGAGGCCGACGACGCGCUGCUGGUGAGCGCCGAGCCCGGAGAGGCCUCUCCCUGGCCCCGUCCAGCGGCUGCGUGUCCACCCUGGCUGUCUCCCACAGGCGGAGCUGAACGAGGUCCUCGGGGAAGACGAGAAGGUGCUGGAGCCCCCGCCCCCUGUGGCCCAGCCGAAGCCCUCGGCCCCCCACCUGGGGCUGGAGGCCACCCUGCAGGAGCGCCUGGCCCUCUACCAGUCAGCCAUCGAAAGCGCCAGGCAAGCUGGGGACAGCGCCAAGACACGGCGCUACGACCGGGGGCUCAAGACGCUGGAAAACCUGCUGGCCUCCGUCCGGAAGGGCAAUGCCAUCGAUGAAGGGGACA
rnacentral:lncRNA from 1 species